rnacentral:rRNA from 1 species
GACAGAGGCCUCAAGCGUUAGGCGGAAUCACUGGGCUUAAAGCGUGUGUAGGCGGGUCGUUAAGUCAGGGGUGAAAUCCUGGAGCUCAACUCCAGAACUGCCUUCGAUACUGGGAGCUCGAGUCCGGGAGAGGUGAGUGGAACUGCGAGUGUAGAGGUGAAAUUCGUAGAUAUUCGCAAGAACACCAGUGGCGAAGGCGGCUCACUGGCCCGGUACUGACGCUGAGGUGCGAAAGCGUGGGGAGCAAACAGG